UACGAAGGGGACUAGCGUUGUUCGGAAUCACUGGGCGUAAAGCGCACGUAGGCGGAUAUGUCAGUCAGGGGGUGAAAUCCCACGGCUCAACCGUGGAAGUGCACUCGGAACUGGAUGGCUAGAGUCCCGGAGAGGUUGGUGGAACUCUCGGUGUAGAGGUGAAAUUCGUAGAUAUCGAGAAGAACACCGGUGGCGAAGGCGGCCAACUGGGACGGUGACUGACGCUGAGACGCGAAAGCGUGGGGAGCAAACAGG
rnacentral:rRNA from 1 species